rnacentral:sRNA from 1 species
CCCAGGACUUACGUCCUGGGCUAACAUAUGCCGCCCCUGCGGGGCU